UCUGCCGAGGGCCCAGGUUUGUUUGAUCCCUGGUCAGGGAACUAAGAUCCUGUAAGCUGCCUCAUGCGGCCAAAAAAAAAAAAAAAAAAGUUUCUAGUUGAGCCUUAUUACCAAAAUCUAACAAAGAUAGGUUUUUUUCUCUUAAUCUGGUUUAUGAAUAUAGAUGAAAAGAAUUCUCUAAAGUUAGAUAUACAAUCCUAAUAAAAUCUCUUAGGAAGCUAAGGAAAAGAUGCUUCCUUAACAUGAUAAAGUACUAUGUAUAGUAAGUCCAGGGACCACAUUGUCAUUUCGGUAAAUACACCAGGGUGUUCCCACUAAAGCAGUGGUCAUGCUGUGCUGCUGGCCAUUCAGAAUGAGCUGUGAAUCUGAAUGGUGACUGAUGGUGCAGGGAAAGCGCCCUUCAGUCACCUGACAAGUUUCUUGAACACCUGAAGUCUUGGGUGAAGCAGAGCCAGUGAGAGGCAGUGUGUCCUGAUGGUUAGGGGAAAGAGACCUGUAGCAGGCAGUGUGACCUUCCGCUCUGGCCUCUUCCCUCUUCUGCAAAGGGAGCACAAUAGUAACACCCCUUCUAAGGGGGAUUGUGAGGAUUACAGGAGGCAAAGCCAGACUUGCCAUGAGCACAGGUGUUAGUGGUUGUUAACUGAUGUUCGUAUUUUUGUUGUAGAUGUUUGGGUUCCACUGGUGGUCAGGAUCUUGGCACACUUCAUUUCAGAACCCUCUAUCUUGAUGCUUUCGGGUUAGAAUGGAGAUCUUUCAACAAUGUGGACCCCAGGAAAUAGGCUGAUAGCUGUGCAAGCCCAAAUCUGCCACGUCCCAGUGUUCUAUCCCUGUGCUGGCUGGUCCUCCCUCCUCCCCAAGCCCUGCACCCUCACCUCCUUGCCUUUCCCUUCCCCCGCUCCCCCCGUGCCUCCCUCGUCUCUCAGCCCCUCCGUACUUCCCUGUCUAUGGCGGCAGCCUCUCCUGCAGACAGUGCAGCCUCCCCCUGCCUCCCAAGUCCUCUUUCAGUGUUAGUCCUUGCUGCACACCCUCCAGCGUCCUCCCCUCCAUGAAGUCCAAGUUUGUCAGAGCUUGAGAAAUCCCUCGAGCUGUGUGUCACGUGUCCCUCUUCUCCUCACCCCAAGUCUCCAGUCUCCCUGAACGGUUGUUCAGAAAGUGCCAUGCCGUCUGCCCGUAUGACCUCUGUGCCUCUGUACCGUUUGCCUGGGUGCCCAUCUGCCCGUAUGACCUCUGUGCCUCUGUACCGUCUGCCUGGGUUUCCUGCCUCCCCUCCUCCUCGUCCACCUGGCACAUGCUCAUCCAUGAAGCCCUAUUGUAACCUCUCGCUGCUGAGGAUAGUGCCUCCCUCUGCACGUUUGGUGCCCCACAUCGUUUUCUGUGCCCCCGCCUGUUGCCUACAGUAUAGCCCUGUGUUCAGUCAUCUGCACCCGCUGCCAGAGUGUGAACUCUUCCAGGGCAGGGGCUGUGCUCUCCUCUGCUGUCUGCGUUGCGUGGUGGGGUGCUCAGCACGCAGAACAAUGCCUGUCCUAUGGGAGGGAACUAGCGGACGCACAAUCUGGUCCUGCUGUGGAUGGAGGGUGGCGUCUUUGCUUACCCAGAGCUCCGGGGAGUGGGAGUCGCACUUCGCCGUUUGGGGGCUUACAGCAGUGGCGCGGCAUCCUGUCAUUGCCGCAAGCUGUUCACCAGGGGCUUGGCUCCAGUUGUGUAGCCUCCACCAGGCGAGGCUUGUGUAGGUGGAGCCACAGCACUUGAGCACUUGUUAUGUGCCAGGUGCUGGGUUAAAUGCUUUUAGGGUAGCUCACUGGACCCUCACAGCAACUCUAAGGUCGGUUCUGUUAUAACUCUGGUUUUACUCCUAAGGAAACAGCUCUGAGUAACGACAUGAUGGAGCUGGGUUUAUAUCCAGAUCCCACUCCGAGACUAAGCCUGAAGCUCAGGCAUGGCCGCACCUCCAGAGGCUGGGAGGCAGGGAGGCUUGAGGUGGCCGGGUUUAGGUCCUGGGACUAGGUGUGGUUGGACAGCAAAGGGGCUACUAGCUCUGCCAGGCUGUUCACACUGUUCUGUAAUUUGCUUUUUUCUCUUAAUGUAUUGUGAACGUCUUUCCAUGCUGUGGUGGUUUUAAAAUAUGUCUACAAAUUUUUGGACACUCCUCCCACAAAAGAGAGAGCCCAAUUCCCUUACCCUUGAAUGUGGGCCUGUCUCAGUGACACACUUCUAUUGAAUAGGAUGUGGCAGAAGUGAUGCUGAAUGACAUCUGAAGCUGGAUUAGAAAAGGCGACGCAGCUUCCAUGCAGCUCUGUCUUUCAUGGGAUGCAUGCCUUGGGGUCCCUUGGCUUUGCUGAAGCUACCCUGCUGGACCGUCGCCUGGAGGGGCAAGGGCUGGAGCAGAGGAGAGAAAGAAGGAGGGAGAGAGAUGCCCAAAGGGUCUUCAGAGUACAGGUGCCACCUGGGAGUGAGUGAGCCUUCAGGUGAUUCCAGCAUCCAGCCUUCAAGGCAAGGGCCAAAUGGAGCAGAGACGAGGUCUCCCUGCCCAGCCCUUGCAGACUGCAGAUUGGUUGUCACCUUCCUCUAGCAUGUUUGGGAGGCGAGCGCGUGGUCCUUCACCCACCUGGGUCAGUUUAACACUGUAGCUCCUCAGCGCUCACUUGGCUCCUGGGGCCUCAGGUCACUAUCCCGCUGCUGAUCACCCGUUGGAACUCCUGGACUGCAUCUCUGACUUCAUAGAGCUUUUGUUCUGUGGGGAGAUGGGCAAGAAAUAAGAGAAAAAUAACUAAAAACUGGCCCCAUUCCUGUGAGCGUGGAGGGAAGGUUGGGGAAGGGUUUCAAGCAGCAAAGACAGCCUCUCGGAGGUCAGCCUUAAAGAAACCACAUGCCUGGUUGUGAAUUUUGACAUGGCUUCCUGGUUGGCUUCUGGGAGAAUGGGGGCACCUUGCCUGAGAACGUGGAGGCAUGAAGAUUGGCUCUUCUGGUUAUAAUUCCUUCACUCAAUUGUCUGAUAACUGCUUUAGGAAAAAUUCCUCGAAGUGGAAUGUUUGAGAUUCAGAGUAGUUUGGAUUUUAAAGGCCAUUGCUACAGGGAACCAAGCUACUCCUCCAGAAAGCUUUGCUCAGUUACAUCCCUCCAAACUGUGCAAGCCGGAGCUUCACAACAGGGUGCCAGGGUGCCAGAGCCCGAGUGAGUUACAGGUGCCAAGAGCAUAAACGCUUCCCACCCCUGAGACUCAGUGGAGCCCAGGGUGCCUUGCUGAGGUGAUCACUUCUAUGUGUGCCUUGUGACGAACCAUGUGUUCCCAGCCCUGGAUAGCACUAGAUAGACAUUGUCAUUCUUUUCCAUUAGACACCUACCUGACUGAGGGGAGUAUUAUCUCCUUGAUGUUGUAGUUUACAUCUUUUUAAUUACCAGUGAGGCUAUUUUUCAUAUGCUGAUUAUACCAUUGCAUUUAUUCUUUGUGACUUUCUUGUCCUUGUCCUUUACUCAUUUCUCCACUGGGGUCGUUGCUUUUUUUAUAUGAAUUUUUAAGUACUACCUAGAAACAACCAGCAGAGGGCAGCAGUGCAUCAGGGUGCCAAGGGGAUAGUGCUGGAGCCUGAACCUGAACAGUAUAUUUUGGACAAAGACACAGACUGGGCCCUGGGGCCUUGGCAUCAAUGGACUAGGGGAACUUAGAACAGAUAAUGUGGCUAAUUUCCUCUCCAAAUUGAGUUAUUUGUCUGAAAAUCUGUAGGUGGGCUUGGGGCAAGAAGAUGACUUUGAAGGGAUAAAACUGUAGGUCCCAGAGUGGUAAAUGAAUUCUGUCUGAUGGUAGACCCAGGUUGUUGCCAGAGUAUGGGAUGUGUGUGUGCAUACAAAUGUGCGCCCCACCCGCCAGAAAGGUACCUGAAUAAAUUUCACAUAUGCCAACCUCUCUCUUUGAGCUGUCUUGUUCUCUGUCUCAUUGGGAAAUUGAAGCAACUUAAUAGGCAGGGCCUGGGUGGUAAUGCAGGAAUGUGAGGUUUUAGAGAGGAGAGAGCCAGUGAAUGCUGCCCCAGCCUUUCACUGUAGGAAGCUAGGUGAGCCUCAGAGAGAUGCGAAGCCCCUGAAAUCAUUCGCAGAAUUGUCUAUGCACUUACAUAUCUUAUUUUAAAAAACAUUUAAUUUUGAAAUAAUUGUAGAUUCAGAAGUAGUCUCAAAAAUAGUAGAGAGGCUCUGUGUACCUUUCACCCACUUGCCCCCAAUUAUAACAUUUCACAUAACUUUAACCAGGAAAUUGACUUUGAUAUAAUUCAGGCCUUGUUCGGAUUCCACGUGCUCAUGCGUGUGCGUGCACGCAUGACAUUGUUGAGCUAUACGAGAGGCUCUGGAUCACCAUCUUUUGGACUUUGUGUUCUGUGCCAAAGGUGUACCCAUGUUUGCUUAAGUCAUCAUUAGUAGAGUUUUCUGUUACUUGAAGCCUCAACAUUCCUAACAUCCAAUUACAAGGUGCAGAAAACCUCAUGCAAACCGGCUCAAUUU